GAUGAACGCUAGCGGCGGGCUUAAUACAUGCAAGUCGAGGGGCAGCACGAUGUAGCAAUACAUUGGUGGCGACCGGCGGACGGGUGCGUAACACGUAUGCAACUUGCCCUAUACUGGGGGAUAGCCCGAAGAAAUUCGGAUUAAUACCCCAUAACAUCAGGAUCAGCAUUGGUCUUGGUUCAAAACUCCGGUGGUAUAGGAUGGGCAUGCGGUCGAUUAGCUUGUUGGUGAGGUAACGGCUCACCAAGGCGACGAUCGAUAGGGGGCCUGAGAGGGUGAUCCCUCACACUGGUACUGAGACACGGACCAGACUCCUACGGGAGGCAGCAGUAAGGAAUAUUGGUCAAUGGGCGAAAGCCUGAACCAGCCACGCCGCGUGAAGGAAGACGGCCCUAUGGGUUGUAAACUUCUUUUCUAUGGGAAUAAACCUCAGGACGUGUCCUGAGCUGAAGGUAUCGUAGGAAUAAGGAUCGGCUAACUCCGUGCCAGCAGCCGCAGUAACAC
rnacentral:rRNA from 1 species